AUCAUACUUAAAAAAAAGAGUUUGAUCCUGGCUCAGAAUGAACGCUAGCGAUAUGCUUAACACAUGCAAGUUGAACGUUGUUUUCGAGUCGAAAUGAGAACAAAGUGGCGAACGGGUGCGUAACACGUGGGAAUCUGCCAAACAGUUUGGGCCAAAUCCUGAAUGAAUGAAAGCUAAAAAGCGCUGUUUGAUGAGCCCACGUAGUAUUAGGUAGUUGGUUAGGUAAAAGCUGACCAAGCCUACGAUGCUUAGCUGGUCUUUUCGGAUGAUCAGCCACACUGGGACUGAGACACGGCCCAGACUCCUACGGGAGGCAGCAGUGGGGAAUCUUGGACAAUGGGCGAAAGCCUGAUCCGGCAAUAUGGCGUGAGUGAAGAAGGGCAACGCAGCUUGUAAAGCUCUUUCAUCGAGUGUGCGAUUGUGACAAGACUUGAAUAAGAAGCCCCGGCUAACUCCGUGCCAGCAGCCGCGGUAAGACGGGGGGGGCUAGUGUUAUUCGGAAUGACUAGGCGUAAAGGGCACGUAGGCGGUGAAUCCGGUUGAGAGUGAAAGUCGCCAGCUCAACUGGCGGAAUGCUUUCAAAACCAAUUCACUUGAGUAAGAUAGAGGAUAGUGGAAUUUCGUGUGUAGAGAUAAAAUUCACAGAUAUACGAAGGAACACCAAAAGCGAAGGCAGCUUUCUGGGUCUCUACUGACGCUGAGGUGCGAAAGCAUAGGGAGCAAACAGGAUUAGAUAGAUCCGGCCGGGCUCUAAAUGAAACACGGUCAAAGGUGUCCCCUCCGAUCGCGAGGUCAGAGUGUGCAUCCAGCUAUUUCGGGGAAACUUUGAUAUGAAUGUACCAUUUAACAUCAGACAAUCCCGAGGGAAGUGCUUUAAUCUCGGAUCAAGAGCACCCCGUAGAGACUAUGAAAAUAGGGAAAUAGAAGAUAUAAAGAAAAAUAGGCAAAGCUCAAGCUCCUAACCUGCACUUGAAGAGACUCAAGCAAAUAUCUUUGUCGGAUUUAAUGAAAUCAAUUAUCUUAGGAUAACUCCUAAGAGAUGGCAAGGUUCUCCGUUCGUUAUAGCCAAAUGAAGGAAAAUUACUUUCGGUGGAUGGAAAGUAGGCUCACUGCAUGAAAUCUUGGCACUAAGUUCCGUGCAGGGGCAAGCCGUCGAUGGCUUUGGCCAGAACAAGUGGCUACUGAUGACUUCGACAAAGAAUAUGUUAAGCUUUUAGCCCGAGACUUAGACACUUUUCGAAAGGAAGGUUUACGGGCCUAUUCGAAAAAAUCGAAAGUACGGUAAUUCAAGCCAAGAGUCUUACUGCCGCCUUUGGUCUGGUAUUGAGGAACUUAAGAGACUGCUUUGAAUGAUCUUACCACAUGUUCCCGUGGCGAGCAUGCCCAGGAAAGCCAUAUUAUUGGUUUACAAAGAUCCUGAAAUUCAACAACGCUGGAUCUCUGAAAUGAAGAAAGCUUUGCCUCUUUUUUCGAAGUGCAUUAACCAAUAGUUAGCCAAUAAAAAAGAAAGCAACUGCAAAGAUUGGAGUUCAGAGAAUGAUAUAGUCCAUUUUUGAAGAUAAUCAUCACGUAGUGAUCGUGAUGGGAUUAUUUCUUUUCCAUCAUGACCUCGAGAAGCAGCUAAGCCACUGAACAAGGGCUCAAUGCUGGCGAAAAACUAUCUUCAAUAUGACCCUGGUAGUCUAUGCCGUAAACGAUGAGUGUUCGUCCUUGGUCUGCGCUGUAUGCAAAAUGGCUGAUCAGGGGCCCAGCUAACGCGUUAAACACUCCGCCUGGGGAGUACGGCCGCAAGGCUGAAACUCAAAGGAAUUGACGGGGGCCUGCACAAGCGGUGGAGCAUGUGGUUUAAUUCGAUACAACGCGCAAAACCUUACCAGCCCUUGACAUAUGAAUAAGUUUGCUUGUCCUUAAUGGGAUGGUACGAAAAUUUAUACAGGUGCUGCAUGGCUGUCGUCAGCUCGUGUCGUGAGAUGUUGGGUUAAGUCCUAUAACGAGCGCAACCCUCGUUUUGUGUUGCUAAGACAUGCGUUUUGGAUUAAAGGAUCGAUUAUUGAGCACUUAAAAGUAACGAAGACCACAACAUUAAAAAAGGAUAUCACAACACCGUGUGGCUACGACUACACAGUUGUCGAAGGGUACUUCGACGAGCACAGCUCUCAUAGCGUGGCACACAUAACAAUGUGGCACCCAGUCUUUGUAAAAAUAAUUGACAAUCCAUGCCAUGUACUGCACUCACAAGAAACUGCCAGUGAUAUACUGGAGGAAGGUGGGGAUGACGUCAAGUCCGCAUGGCCCUUAUGGGCUGGGCUACACACGUGCUACAAUGGCAAUUACAAUAGGAAGCAAGGCUUUAAGGCAGAGCGAAUCCAGAAAGAUGGCCUCAGUUCGGAUUGUUCUCUGCAACUCGAGAACAUGAAGUUGGAAUCGCUAGUAAUCGCGGAUCAGCAUGCCGCGGUGAAUAUGUACUCAGGCCCUGUACACACCGCCCGUCACACCAUGGGAAUUGGCUUCGCCCGAAGCAUCAGACCAAGGAUCACCCAUUAUUCCAGUGUUCUAUGCCGUUGUUGAGUGUGGUCUACCAGAGUAAUUGGUGGUUUAAUGUGGGAUACCAAGGUGGGGCCUUUGACUGAGGUGAAGUCGUAACAAGGUAGCCGUAGGGGAACCUGUGGCUGGAUUGACUCC
rnacentral:rRNA from 1 species